GAUUCCACCACCAUCAACUCUUUUCAUUAUUCUUCCUUUCUUCAUUUCAUUCUUCAAUUUAUUGUUUCAUAAUUAAUCUCCAUCUAAUUCAAAGAAAUCUUCCAAAUAAUAAUCAUCAAGUUGCUAGCAAAAGAAAUUGAAAGGUUAGGGUUUAUGCCUAAAUGGUGGUGGCUGAAUUUUUAAGGAAGAAGGAGGAGAAAUUAGGGCUUGAAGUAUUGAUCUUUGUUCUUGAAACAUUAAGGUUGAUGCAUACGUAUUGUGUACUUGCGGUCUUGUUGAUUUAUGAUUUUAGUCGUUGCGGAGGAGGUUGUCUCGGAUGUGGAAGAAAGUUAAGUAAUCUAAAGAUUGAAGUUAAAGUUGCUUAAUGGAUAUGCUUGCUUUAGCUAAAUGCGGAUAAUGGUAUUGGUAAUAGGAACCUUAAUGACCCCCUCUGAACUAUCGGCUCAUUGUACCCUUGUUAUGUCUUUUUGGGAAAAUUAUUAUGAUGUCUAGUGUUAGACCUGAGUUUUUGGGGUAUUUUCAAUGGGUCGUUUUGUAGUAGUGAUGUAUUGAUCAUAAUUAAAUGUGUUUUGGUAAAACUAAUAAUCCGUAACAGGUUUUGGAUGAUGAUUUUACGAA